rnacentral:tRNA from 2 species
AGCGGGGUGGAGCAGUUGGCAGCUCGUCGGGCUCAUAACCCGAAGGUCGUAGGUUCAAGUCCUACCCCCGCAA